UACAGAGGUCUCAACCGUUGUUCGGAUUCAUUGGGCGUAAAGGGUGCGUAGGCGGUCGCGCAAGUCGGAUGUGAAAUCUCAGGGCUCAACCCUGAAACUGCAUUCGAUACUGCGUGGCUAGAGUGCUGGAGAGGAGACUGGAAUUUACGGUGUAGCAGUGAAAUGCGUAGAUAUCGUAAGGAAGACCAGUGGCGAAGGCGAGUCUCUGGACAGCAGCUGACGCUGAGGCACGAAGGCCAGGGGAGCAAACAGG
rnacentral:rRNA from 1 species